rnacentral:rRNA from 1 species
CAGCAGCCACGGUAAUACAGAGGGUGCAAGCGUUAAUCGGAAUUACUGGGCGUAAAGCGCGCGUAGGUGGUUUGUUAAGUUGGAUGUGAAAGCCCCGGGCUCAACCUGGGAACUGCAUCCAAAACUGGCAAGCUAGAGUACGGUAGAGGGUGUUGGAAUUUCCUGUGUAGCGGUGAAAUGCGUAGAUAUAGGAAGGAACACCAGUGGCGAAGGCGACCACCUGGACUGAUACUGACACUGAGGUGCGAAAGCGUGGGGAGCAAACAGGAUUAGAUACCCGAGUAGUCCCUGUCUCUUAUAC